rnacentral:rRNA from 1 species
AGCAGCCGCGGGAACGACCGGCGGCCCGAGUGGUGAUCGUGAUAUUGGGUCUAAAGGGUCCGUAGCCGGUUUGGUCAGUCCUCCGGGAAAUCUGAUAGCUCAACUAUUAGGCUUUCGGGGGAUACUGCCAGACUUGGAACCGGGAGAGGUAAGAGGUACUACAGGGGUAGGAGUGAAAUCUUGUAAUCCCUGUGGGACCACCUGUGGCGAAGGCGUCUUACCAGAACGGGUUCGACGGUGAGGGACGAAAGCUGGGGGCACGAACCGGAUUAGAUACCCGGGUAGUCCCAGCCGUAAACGAUGCUCGCUAGGUGUCAGGCAUGGCGCGACCGUGUCUGGUGCCGCAGGGAAGCCGUGAAGCGAGCCACCUGGGAAGUACGGCCGCAAGGCUGAAACUUAAAGGAAUUGGCGGGGGAGCACAACAACGGGUGGAGCCCUGCGGUUUAAUUGGACUCAACGCCGGACAACUCACCGGGGGCGACAGCAAUAUGUAGGCCAAGCUGAAGACUUUGCCUGAAUCGCUGAGGAGUGGUGCAUGG